GAUGAACGCUGGCGGCGUGCCUAAUACAUGCAAGUCGAGCGAACGGACGAGAAUCUUGCUUCUCUGAUGUUAGCGGCGGACGGGUGAGUAACACGUGGAUAACCUACCUAUAAGACUGGGAUAACUUCGGGAAACCGUAGCUAAUACCGGAUAAUAUUUUGAACCGCAUGGUUCAAAAGUGAAAGACGGUCUUGCUGUCACUUAUAGAUGGAUCCGCGCUGCAUUAGCUAGUUGGUAAGGUAACGGCUUACCAAGGCAACGAUGCAUAGCCGACCUGAGAGGGUGAUCGGCCACACUGGAACUGAGACACGGUCAAGACUCCUACGGGAGGCAGCAGUAGGGAAUCUUCCGCAAUGGGCGAAAGCCUGACGGAGCAAUGCCGCGUGAGUGAUGAAGGUCUUCGGAUCGUAAAACUCUGUUAUUUGGGAAGAACAUAUGUGUAAGUAACUGGGCACAUCUUGACGGUACCUAAGCAGAAAGCCACGGCUAACUACGUG
rnacentral:rRNA from 1 species